AUGCUGUGCCCUGCUCAGCUCCUGGGGCUGCUUUUGCUCUGGAUCCCUGGAUCCAGUGGAGACACUGCGAUGACACAGACUCCACUUACCUUGUCUGCUGCUCCUGGAGAUUCAGCCUCCCUCUCCUGCAGAUCUAGUAAGAGCAUCCUACGUAGUGAUGGAAACACCUAUUUGAGUUGGUGUAUGCAGAGGCCUGGCCAAUCUCCACCAGGCCUGAUCUAUAAGGUUUCUAACCGGUAUUCUGAAGUCCCAGACAGGUUCAUUGGCAGUGGAUCAGGGACAGAGUUCACACUCAAAAUCAGCAGAGUAGAGCCUGAGGACGUUGGAGAUUAUUACUGUAUGCAACAUACAGGUUUUCCUCCCACAGUG